rnacentral:rRNA from 1 species
CCUACGGGUGGCAGCAGUGGGGAAUAUUGGGCAAUGGGCGCAAGCCUGACCCAGCAACGCCGCGUGAAGGAAGAAGGCUUUCGGGUUGUAAACUUCUUUUGACAGGGAAGAGAAGAAGACGGUACCUGUCGAAUAAGCAACGGCUAACUACGUGCCAGCGGCCGCGGUAAUACGUAGGUGGCAAGCGUUGUCCGGAGUUACUGGGUGUAAAGGGCGUGUAGGCGGGCUGACAAGUCAGAUGUGAAAUCCGGGGGCUCAACCCCCGAACUGCAUUUGAAACUGGUGGUCUUGAGUAUCGGGGAGGCAGGCGGAAUUCCUAGUGUAGCGGUGAAAUGCGUAGAUAUUAGGAGGAACACCAGUGGCGAAGGCAGCCUGCUGGACGACAACUGACGGUGAGGCGCGAAAGCGUGGGGAGCGAACAGGAUUAGAUACCCGUGUAGUC